rnacentral:miRNA from 1 species
GCUGACACGUCCCGGCCAAUCUCCAGCAGACCCUCCCUCCCAGACCCUCCUACUUCCUGGACAGCAUCCAUGUUUCAACUACUUUCAACAUGGAUGCUGUCCAGGAAGUAGGAGGGUCUGGGAGGGAGGGUCUGCUGGAGAUUGGCCGGGACGUGUCAG